GACGAACGCUGGCGGCGUGCUUAACACAUGCAAGUCGAGCGGAAAGGCCCUUCGGGGUCCUCGAGCGGCGCACGGGUGAGUAACACGUGAGUAACCUGCCCCAGACUUUGGGAUAACCCUCGGAAACGGGGGCUAAUACCGGAUACGACACAGCUUCGCAUGGGGUCUGUGUGGAAAGUUUUUCGGUUUGGGAUGGGCUCGCGGCCUAUCAGCUUGUUGGUGGGGUGAUGGCCUACCAAGGCGACGACGGGUAGCCGGCCUGAGAGGGCGACCGGCCACACUGGGACUGAGACACGGCCCAGACUCCUACGGGAGGCAGCAGUGGGGAAUAUUGCACAAUGGGCGGAAGCCUGAUGCAGCGACGCCGCGUGAGGGAUGACGGCCUUCGGGUUGUAAACCUCUUUCAGCAGGGACGAAGCGUAAGUGACGGUACCUGCAGAAGAAGCGCCGGCCAACUACGUG
rnacentral:rRNA from 1 species